rnacentral:lncRNA from 1 species
CAAGAGAAGGGGGACACACCACAUCACGUAGGGCCAUAUGGAGAGGCACCAGAGUUGCUCAGGAGGCAAAAGGAGUGAAGAAGAAGCAUGGAUGAAGGCCUUUAUUAAUAUAACAGUGGGCAGCUGGCAGAUGGGCAUAUCCCUUAUUGGGCAAGAAGUGAAGCAGAGUUGGGGUUUGUGGUUGGAUGAUUUGUAGCAUGAAUCCCAUGUGCUAGCAGAAACCCAGGGCCAGUACUGUUGUCGACAAUUUUGGCUGCUAAGUUGGCCCCUGACUUCACAAUGCCAAGUCAUCAAUUACAGGAUAUCUAGAGCAAUUAUGACAGAAGUGUGAGCCACUGCCUCACUGUGAUUGCUCUUCAUCUGGUCUUCAGUGACUCUGAUCCUUUUCACCAAAGUUUGGAUCUCUUGCUAUCUUCUAGACAUGACCCCACUGGACCGUGGGUUUUAUUUAGAUCUCCUGUUCUUUGGCCCAUUUUGGUUUCUCUCUCUCUCCUACUCUGACUCUGCUUCCGUUAUACCUAGAGAUUUUCUCCAUUUUUCCCCCUUUCUCAUACAUAGGAGAGCUGCUUCUUUCCACAGACAAGCAUAGAAACUUGGCAAAUAGAGGGAAGCUCAGUCUGCGUUGCCAUGUCAACCGAAAGCAGAGCUGACUUUUCAGCAUCACACACUAAUCGUUCCGGUUUAUGGACUGGCAGGGCCCUAGAAGACCAUUUUCACCCACUGGAAAGUCUCCUGAAUGCUCAUUGGUGUUGGAAUUUACCUGUCUGUAGGGGUAAAAGUAAUUCCUCCAGUGGAGAACCUUCACCAGUGAUGCAAGUUUCCAGAAGUGUCAACAGUGAGUACUGCAUUUACAAAAACACACUCAUAAUGUAUCUGUGAAGAAGAAGAAUUUUAGGAGGCAAAAAGUUGCAGAUUAAAAAUCUUCAAAAUUAUAAAUUC